UUGGCUCUGAAACAAGGCCAGCAGUUUGCUGAAGGUGUUGGUUUCAAGCAGGAGCCUAAAGAAUUAUCCCUCUAUGAUCUGUUGGCCAUUUCAGAACUUCCGAAAUGUAACGGUCAAUUCAUUAGAAAGAAGCAGUG
ensembl:snoRNA